CCUGCUGACCUCCUUUUUAUCUUAUUAUUUUCCUGUCGUUAUUUUGUAAUGGGAAUGUCUUCUUUAGAAACUAAAUGGUUAGCAAUGGGUAAAAACACAACCUAAGUAAAGGCGCGGUUUCAGACGAAGUGCGGCCGGCAGGAGCUAACGAGGCUCCCGGCGCACAAAUCUUGCAGCCCGAGGCCUUUAUCCCAGCGCCACGGACCGAUCCUGGGCGAUCAUGGAAACUCGGAUCACCUGUCACUCCAUGGAUUUUUUUGGGCAGCACAGACCAGAAGAUAACCAGUCAGUAGUCAGUAGAAUGCAGAAGAAAUACUGGAAAACGAAACAGGUCUUCAUCAAAGCAACUGGAAAGAAGGAGGAUGAGCAUGUGGUGGCUUCUGAUGCUGAACUGGAUGCUAAACUUGAGGUUUUUCACUCCAUUCAAGAGACAUGUACUGAACUUCUGAAGAUAGUUGAGAAAUAUCAGCUAAGACUCAAUGUUAUAUCGGAGGAAGAAAACGAACUAGGGCUCUUUUUAAAGUUCCAAGCAGAACGGGAUACAACGCAGGCUGGCAAAAUGAUGGAUGCCACUGGCAAGGCACUCUGUUCUUCAGCCAAACAAAGAUUGGCUCUGUAUACUCCCCUGUCUCGCCUUCAGCAAGAAGUAGCAACAUUCAGUCAAAGGGCAGUAUCUGAUACCUUGACGACAAUUAAUCGGAUGGAGCAGGCACGCACAGAAUACAGAGGAGCCUUGCUCUGGAUGAAAGACGUAUCUCAAGAACUGGACCCAGACACCUUAAAACAAGUGGAAAAGUUCCGAAAAGUACAGAUUCAAGUGAGAAAUAGCAAAACUUCUUUUGACAAGUUAAAGAUGGAUGUUUGUCAGAAAGUGGAUUUACUUGGAGCUAGUCGCUGCAAUAUGUUGUCUCAUUCACUCGCUACCUAUCAGAGAACACUGCUUGGAUUCUGGGAGAAAACAGCUCGAAUGAUGUCCCAGAUUCAUGGGCCCUGUACAGGCCUUCAUCCAUACGACUUUGUAGCUCUCAAGCAACUACAAGACUCUCCAGUGACGCUUACUGAAGGCCACAGGGAGAGACGAAGAGAAGACGGUUCUCUCCCUGAAAACCUCAGUAGGUUAGUUUUGUCAGAUGAGGAAGUGAACUUGGGAAGUGAACCAGCAACUGAAGAUCACAAGGAAAAACAUUCUCGAAUAGAAGAAUUUGUAGCGCCUCAGUUUUCUGACUCUGAAAAUGUUGCAAAAGAUUUGCCAGUAGAUUCACUGGAAGAUGAUUUUGAGAAGGAAUUCUCGUUUCUGAACAGCCUCCUAAGUCCUGGUUGUUGGAGUGCUGGUGAAGCUUCCCAGGGAUGCCAGGCUGUCUUUGGAAGCCCCCAGGCCAGUCUCAUGUGCCAGGAGCCUUCUGGGGGGUCCGAGCCUCUUGCUCACUCCGCAGGAUUCCUCCCUUCGCAGCUCUUUGACCUUGGCCUUCAUGCCGCUGGAGCUUUCAACAGCUGGGCCUCCUAUGGGGGAUUAGAAUUUCCUCUUUCACACAUUGAUAAUCAGCCAGUGCCUUCACAGAGUCCAAAGAAAUUAACAAAAUCUCCCAACAGUGGUAACCAAGACAUGUCAGCCUGGUUCAAUCUGUUUGCAGACUUGGAUCCACUUUCAAACCCAGAUGCUAUCGGACACUCAGAUGAUGAACUUCUCAAUGCUUGACUGAAACUACGAUGCCACUUGAAUGGCCUUGAGACACCAGUUUUGCAACUUACUGCCUUAGUGGAAAGGAGUUUAUGUUGUCACUCACAUACGAAGACAUUGUGUUUGCAAAUUUAACACUUGACAGCCAACUUUAGACAGAUGGUAAGGACCAACCACAUUUCUAUAUAUUAAGUGUCUAUUUAAUAUCUGCAGCAGUUGGUAAUAUAUGAAAAACUUUAUAGAGACUAUUGAGUCUGAAAUUGAUACCAAAACUUAGGCUAACAGGUAGGGAUAAUUGUCAGUAGGGAUUGGGUUUAUUUAUUUGGAAAGCCUUUUAUGUAUGAGUUGCCUUGCUGGCUGAGAUUUCUAUAUGUAGAUAACGGACAGCAUGUAAACUGGGUUGUGAUUUGGGGUUGGUUUUUAAAUAAAACACUGGCAGGGGGAAUUUUCUGUUGUGGAACAUAGCACUAGAAACAAGACUAGCUUUGUCUUUAGAAAGGUAGAAUAAGAUUUGAGAACUCAGUUUUCUUUGAUGAAAUCACAGAGAAACUCGGUACUUGUUCUCUCCACUUGGAGGCUAAAAUGUAAUACCUCAGUUCUUUUCCUUCAUACAAAAUCAUGGACACCCUCCAGUUUCAUUAUGAAUUUUUUUUGGUAAAGUAGCAGGAUGAGUUAAUUGCUAAGUCCACCCUCUGUAGAAACAGAAAACUCUCUUCCCAUCUUAUAAACCACAGGACUGUCCAGCAGUAUUUCAGACAUUGUACUUCAUUGUGUCUUCAGGCCUAAGUCUUCACACACUGCUAUCACAAUGCACUGUAUUCACAUGCCGCCUGAAAGAAGAUAAGGGGAGGGUACUCCCUGGGCAACUGGCAGUUGUAUUCCUGCAAUGACCCAGAAACGUCUACUUGAAUGAGGGAAAAAUCUAAUUAACUCACCCUCGAACAGAUGUGCAAUACUUACCCAGUAUUUCUUAACAUGAUUUAAUCCAGAAUACUUCCUGGCAAAAUUACAGAAAGCUCUAUACUAUCAGUAAAGCAGUCUUUGAUUUUUUUCACUUUUCUGUGGGUGACAUCAGCUAAGGUUCUAUUUGAUUAUGAAGGACAAACUUACCCCUGAAAGGUUUGGAGUCUUAAGUAUCAGAAGGCAGGCUAUUUAAUGGAAGCUGAAGGAGAUGCUAAUGUAAGCACAGCCAUUGUAGACACAAGUCACUCUGUGUCCCAUUCUCUCUUCCUGCCCAGCCUUUAGUUCUGAGGCAGUUCACCCGGUGUCCUGUUCCAUCACUGUGCAGUCCACUGUAUCUGUAUAAGUGACCAUUUUCACUAACAUGUUCACAGUAGGCUUCACUAUACUCCUAGUUCCAAGCAAGCUUAAUUAUUAUUUACAGGAGAAUUGCUUGUAAUCUCUGAGUCACUGUAUAUAGAAAAAACAUUUUCUUAGGAAUGGACUAGGGCAGGUAAAUCACAGUCCACUUCCCAUCUAUAGCAGUCUGGCCUAACUACGAUCUGAACUGCCCACAGGCUCUUUGGAAAACCACAACUGUGGUCAAGUAGUGGAUAGGCUAGAAAGACCUUAACUGAGGGUCAGAAAUACAGACUUAAAAGAUUCUGUAAAACUUUCCUUAAAAUAUUUUCACGGGCUUAUUCCUAUUUCUUUAUUUGGUUUAACCCUUAAGAAGCAGUUUGCAAUUCUCCCUUUUUAUUCAGUGAAAUUCUCCAGAGUAUAGUACAUUGUUCCACCAAAAUUCCAUCACCAGGGUCAUGAUUAUGAAUCACAGUCUAAAGUCUAUAUCCAUGGUCACUCUGAGCUCUCAAUUUUGGGAGUACCUCAGAAAAUGUUAACUGUCUUGAGUUUUGCCGUUUUUCUCUUAUUAAUUUUCACUGAUGCAUUAGUUCAGAAACACUUGUAGCGCUCCGUCACACCCACACAGAGCAGUCCUCGUUACAGCAUAAACAGAGACUCUGCGUGCAGAGGAGAAGACUGCCCCCAGCCUGCCAAGGGCAAAGGUUAUUAGAAAAAAAAAGAAACAUAUGAGAAUUUUUGUUAUUCAGUUCUUAGUUUUCUCUUAACAUUUUUGCUUUCAACGAGUAUCCAGUUGCUCAUUUAACCCAAAAGCAACACUGCCUUAGAAAGUUCAGUUAUAACUUCAGCAAGUCUAAAGACUCCAUUUUUGAAGUGCACAUUUAAAACUUUUAUUUUUUCUCAAGGUUAGUUAUUUGAAGCUCAAUCAUUAAUUUAAAAGCCAGAAACAGAAAUUUGGCUAUAUUAUACCUAAAAUAGGUGUAAUAGGAAACCAAGCACAUAUUCAGUAGCGAGUGAAAGGAAGGACAGGAUAAACAUGGAACAGAAAGGUGAUCAGUUGCUAUUUGGUUAAAUCUAGAACCACCAUUCAAUAAAUAAAUAAAUUAACCUUAACCAAGGGUGAGCUGAGAACAACUUAUCAAAAUAAAUGAAUGCUUUUUAUAUUAAGUGGGGGGGAUAGCUAUCUUAUACUUUUUAAUACCAGACAAAAAUGCAUUUAAACUUAGAAAGCCCCCAGAACUAAAAUUUGCCUAAUCUUUCUUCAACCAACUUUAGGGCAGAUUAAGAUCAAAUUGGUGUGACUUUGUAUUUUUUGAAAUCUUUCAUUAAUUGUAAAACAUAACUCUGAUAUGAUUAGAAACAAACUGUUUUAACAAAACAGGUUUCAGUAUUUGCACAAUGAAAAAGUGUAUUUCAACCAUGGAUAUUUCACAUAACUAUCUUUAUAGACCAUCUGGAAAUGUAAAGGUCUUAAAUGUGUAUGAACAAAGGAAGUUUGAAUGUGCUAUUUUUCUGAGCCUCUUUUAUUAAUAAUAAAAUUAUAAGAUGGCAUAAAAAAGUUUAUUUUCUAAAGUGUUCAAUACAAAUCUAGUUAUUGUUUCCCUAUUCAAAAACUUUGGUUUUUACCUCAGGACCAUAGUAGUAAGAAGGUAGUUUGAAUGAUAUAAAUACCAGAGAAUGAAAAUAAAACCAGGGCAAUUAAUAUCCU